rnacentral:rRNA from 1 species
UACGGAGGGUGCAAGCGUUGUCCGGAUUUAUUGGGUUUAAAGGGUGCGUAGGCGGCCCGUUAAGUCAGUGGUGAAAGCCUCCAGCUCAACUGGAGAACUGCCAUUGAUACUGACGGGCUUGAGUACAGACGAGGUUGGCGGAAUUGAUUGUGUAGCGGUGAAAUGCAUAGAUACAAUCAAGAACUCCGAUUGCGUAGGCAGCUAACUAGGCUGUAACUGACGCUGAGGCACGAAAGUGUGGGGAUCGAACAGG